rnacentral:tRNA from 1 species
ACUUUUAAUGGACAAAAGUGAUCCAAUGGCCUUAGGAGCCACAACUCU